GACGAACGCUGGCGGCGUGCCUAAUACAUGCAAGUUGAGCGCUGAAGGUUGGUACUUGUACCGACUGGAUGAGCAGCGAACGGGUGAGUAACGCGUGGGGAAUCUGCCUUUGAGCGGGGGACAACAUUUGGAAACGAAUGCUAAUACCGCAUAAAAACUUUAAACACAAGUUUUAAGUUUGAAAGAUGCAAUUGCAUCACUCAAAGAUGAUCCCGCGUUGUAUUAGCUAGUUGGUGAGGUAAAGGCCCACCAAGGCGAUGAUACAUAGCCGACCUGAGAGGGUGAUCGGCCACAUUGGGACUGAGACACGGCCCAAACUCCUACGGGAGGCAGCAGUAGGGAAUCUUCGGCAAUGGACGAAAGUCUGACCGAGCAACGCCGCGUGAGUGAAGAAGGGUUUCGGAUCGUAAAACUCUGUAGGUAGAGAAGAACGUUGGUGAGAGUGGAAAGCUCAUCAAGUGACGGUAACUACCCAGAAAGGGACGGCUAACUACGUG
rnacentral:rRNA from 1 species